UAUCUGCUCAGGCAAAGCAUGGAGAAAGAAAGGUUACAUCAACCUGGAUCUAACCCUUUACUACACAUGGUCUUGAUUUUCCCAUCCAAUAAAACAGCUGAACUGCAAGCGCCAACAAUAAAUCUACUUAACUCCCUACCACAUGGACACUCAGGCUAAACAGCUGUGUGAAGGGGGACAUUUGGCUGGAGGAGGAACAGUGGCCACAUCCUAAGACCACAUGCCAACACUCCUGGGACCAAAGAUCCCAGAUCAGUGCAGGGGAUUGAACCUGGGACUGAAAGCACUCUACGACUGAGCAAUCUCUCCAGCUACUUAGUUGUUAUUUUUGGAACGAGGUCUCGCUGAGUUACCCAGGCUGGCCUUGAACUCAUUCUGUAUCGCCGCUUCCUGACUCUGUGCUCAUGCCUUCGACACGCUUUCACCAUGAGGAAAGCAAGCUUGAUCCACGGCUGACACAUUUGGCACACAUGCAAUCACCACAGGCCCUGUCCACCUGAGCACACACUGAAUGUUUUUCUACAACCUCCUUGGUAUAAAGAACUUUAAAAGGAAUGUGUACCAGGGACAACCUGGCAGCCCUUCUACCAAAAAGCCCAACAAAUGAAAUUACAGGGAGAAAACAACACCAGAUUCUGAAGCUCUCUGUGGAUAUCAGGUUUGCAUCUCAAACCCAAAGGGCCGCCUGUCAAGACUGGGCAAUUGAGCCAGUAAUAAUUCUUUUCUGCUAUCCGUCACGCUUGCAGCUUAGCCCAAGGAAGCAAAGCCACAUCCAGGUCAAGGAUCCUGGUCUGUGAUUUGAAGGAUACCACUUCAACCACUGCCUCAGCAAUCCCAAACAGGACGGCAAGAGUAAAAGCCGAUGAUAGACUGGCUCCCUUGCAUCAGGAGAAGUGGGAGGAGCAGUGGCUGGAGAUGUGGUACAGUUUAUAGAGUAUUUGCCUGACAUACACAACACAAACCUUGAGUUCAGUCCCAGGCACAUAAAACCUGAUGUGCCCAUGCGUCACUGUGAUGCCAGCACUCAGAAGUUGGAGGCAGGGGGAUCAGACGCUCAUACAGCGAGUCAGAAGGCAGCUGGGCUACAUGAGAGACCCUGCCUCAAAAAAAUAAAGGAUAAAAUAUAAAGAGCAAAAAAAGGUAUGGCGAGCAAGGAUAUUCCACCCUUGGCAAGGAGCCUUCCCUGCUCUACCGAGGCCCUUCCAGAGGCAACCCUGGCUUUGGCAUGAAGAGCAGGAGUUAUGGGUACAGGAAAUCCCUCCACUGGGUCAGGCUGGCCCAAGGCAAGUCGAUUAACCUCUCCUAGUUUCAGAGCCUCAUCAGUGGAAAGAGGGUAUUGCUACUUAACCUUUUCACAGGGAGGGUGUCAGAAGGAAACUAAUUAAAAGGCACUUUGGGAAACACUGGAGAGAGUCAUUAAUGCUUUGAGUUUCACUGCUGGGAAAUCUGUGCACUGUUCCUCUCAGCCAUCUCAGCAUACCUCUCACAGACACAGCGGCUGCGCUGUAACUUUGGUAGGCACACCAAACAGCAUCUUAGAUCUUUCUCAAUAACGAUGAGAGCGUAAAGAUCGAGCCCUUCCCUUAAAUGUCCUGGGGAAGCCACUGUGUCUGAACUCAGUCAACAGUAUCCUGCAGGACAGGUGGGUUCCUUUGGAAGGUAGCUCAACUAGGCUGCCGAGUCUCCAACAGAUGUUUUAGGAUAGAAGAAAGGGAUAUUAUUACAGCCAUGAACCUUCUCAGAAGCGUAUUCCACACGAGGCUUCUGUCCCCAGUCACACUGCCCAGCACUCUUUAGCCUUCUGAAGGUCAGUCGGACUGAAUGGACAAGGACAUCCCUAGAGUCUACGUACUCAAUGCAGCUGAAGGUGGGGUGUGGAGAGGCAAGAGGAGGCUUGCAAAUGUGGCGUGUUGGUUUGCUAGAAGGGGAAGGGUUUAAAAAGAGAAUGGAUCAAUGUUUUCCAACAGUCUGAAGGCAGCAAGAGGAAAGGUAUCAAUCAGUAAGCACAUCACCAGGAACUCCCCCAACUAAAGGCCGGUGACUGCAGCCCGCCUCGCUGAAGGCUGGAGCAUGGCAGUCCAGCCUGGGAAGCAAGGGUACAGCUUUACCUCCAAACCCUUUAAAUGGCAGCUUCUUGGAGCCAGAAGGCACUCUGACUGGUGACUUCCUGUACGCCCAGAGAACAGAUCAAAUGCAGUAGCACCGUUUUUCUAACUUUAAAGAGGGCCAGAAUCCAAGUUCCCCCACUGAGGCCUGGCAUCUGGAUUCACAGUACUGCCACACUGAAUCAAGACAGGCUCUGGGCUCCGAAAGGAAUCCUUCCUGAUCCUUACCUCCCAGGGAGGGAGGUUUAGGAAUGCUCUGGAAAGGAAGAGAGCCUCUAUGACCCAAAGAGGCCAUGUUCACAUUUUUGUUUUAAAAUGCCUGUUAUCGAGAGACUAGAAGUCUGUGCCUGCCGCCCCUCCACCGCCCCCACCCCCCCCCACCCCCACACACACACACCUGCAAUAACACAGAUUUCCUUCCACUGGCACCAGCUCAUCCUAGAUUGUAGGCAAUGGUAGAAACUAUGUAGAGGUAAGGAUAGGUGGUCAGGAUAGGUUAAUUGGUUAAAAAGCUACAACUGGUUUUAAAAUAUCUUAUUUUCAUUAAUAUAGACACAGUAGCAUAUACCUUAACACAUAUGCGCAGGCUCAGGAAGGAAGGCCAGAAGAUCAUUAUUAAAAUGUCAACUGUUUCUGGGUCACUUCUCGGAGGCUUCUGGCUUUUAACUCUUGUCUUACCAAAAUCCAAUGAUGGAGGAGGCUAUUUCCAACUUCACAGACCAGAAACAAGAACAGAAGAGAUUACACACGGUGAACGGCAGCACAGGACUGGACCUUCUCGGACAGCUUCUGGUGCUUUGGGACAUGGUGGACAAUUAUGUAUGCGUCUGCAUUUCCUACAGUAAACAUGUAUUCUUUUUUGGACAAGGAAAGACAGCUACCUUUAUUUUUGGUAUGGUCAAAUAUGUUAAAGAAAAACCUACAAUUGUUCUGGAAGCAACAGAAAGACAAGCAGAGCAGUUGUGAUUCCAUCAUCCUGAGGACUUAAUUUUCAGAAGUGCUGUCUACUCACUGUGGGGCAACCAAUGCAUCUAUUCAGGCACAUUUUGUUCCAACACCUUUCCUACUCAUUCUCAAAAACUAGCAACAUUUUUCUUUUAGGCUCAGCCAGGCUUGGAUAAUGAGUAGGCUGCGGCAGCAAGGCAGAGUGAUGUCUUUGUAGCCAGACUGACCCACGCUUGAACUGUCUGCUCUUAACCGGCUCCUUGACUUUGUGUGAGUCACAUGACCUUGUAGGAGCUCUAAUUCUGCAUCCACAAGAACAAGGAUGCUGCCACUUACAAUACAGGCUGAGAGCCUGUGAAAUUACAUUUGUUAACACUGAUGACACAUUAGGUGCAGAGUAAAUAGACUUUAUUAUGACAUUCCAGGUCAACGUCUUGAUUUAAACAAUUGCUCAGUAAACUAAGGUCACUAUCCACAGCUGUGUUCCCUGGGAAAAAGCCUUUUUCCGCUUCGAGUAAAACUUCCCUUCCAGUCAAACAGCCUUGCCGCCGUUAAUAAACAACUCACCCAUGUGAAGACAGGAAUCAAGGAGGGGGCGGUUGCUUAAGGGAGCUGGAAGCUGGGCAAAAAGUUGGUAGUUGCUAAACACCCAUUGUAAGCAGAGAACAUGGGUCUAAAUCUGAGGGAGGAGUGAGCGUGUGGCUCAGCAAACCCCAGUUCACACCAUGUCUAAGGGAGCCUGCUCCCCCGGGUUGGAACAGACAGAAGUCUGAUCAGGGAAAGGAACAGAGUAAAGGGAAGGGUCUAGCAGGAAAAAUUAAUUCCACAUUUAGUUCCAGUGGCUCCACAGAGGCAAAGGAGCGGCAAGUGCGGACGGACAGGGUUCAGGGUGCAGCCAGUACCGCCAUGUGCUGUGUGUCCUCUCCUGGCUUCUUCCCAAUAAGAAUUUGAAUGUUCGGGGUGGGGGCUGGUGAGGGUGGAGAGAUGGCUCAGCCAUUAAGAGCACCAGCCGCUCUUCUAGGAGACGCAGCUCACAACUGUCUGUAACUUCAGUUCUAGGGGAUCCGACACCCUCACACAGACUUA